rnacentral:rRNA from 1 species
UACGGAGGAUGCAAGCGUUAUCCGGAUUUAUUGGGUUUAAAGGGUGCGUAGGCGGAAUUGUAAGUCAGUGGUGAAAUCUUGCAGCUUAACUGUAAAAUUGCCGUUGAUACUGCUAUUCUUGAGUACAGUUGAGGUAGGCGGAAUGUGUAAUGUAGCGGUGAAAUGCUUAGAUAUUACACAGAACACCGAUUGCGUAGGCAGCUUACUAAGUUGUAACUGACGCUGAGGCACGAAAGCGUGGGGAUCGAACAGG